AUGUUUGGUUGCAAACAGGGUGGACCGGCUCGCAUCGGCAUGAACCUUAAUGCAGCUCAGAGCCUGGCUUGCUGGAAAUCCUCGAAUCGGCAGUUUCCAGCGAGCCAGGCUAAGUGCGGCGCAAAAGGGAUGCAGCGCGCCCGCGACAGUGCAAGGCGAAAUCGAGUGGAGAUGACGAGGGAUGGAAAUCAGUUGAGGCGGGAUGGUGUGAAAUCUAGCCUCACUGCCCCAUUUACUCGGCCACCAGUAGCUCUAGGACAAGCACUUCCUCUGUUCUUAGUACCGACGACGAAGAUGACUCAGAUCUACGCAAGCGACGGCGACGGAGGCGGCAACAUCAAUCUCCAGCCGGCAGCGGGAGCUGCUUCCUCCCUUACUCUUGGCCACCAUCCGGUCCUCCUUGACUCAGCCAUGGCCUCCCCUUCCCCGUCGUCAUCUCCGAAGCCGCUAAGCAAGCUGGAACCCCCUCCCCCUAUGUUAGGCAAGGUGUAG
rnacentral:rRNA from 1 species